AUUGAACGCUGGCGGCAGGCCUAACACAUGCAAGUCGAACGGUAACAGGAAACAGCUUGCUGUUUCGCUGACGAGUGGCGGACGGGUGAGUAAUGUCUGGGAAACUGCCUGAUGGAGGGGGAUAACUACUGGAAACGGUAGCUAAUACCGCAUAACGUCGCAAGACCAAAGAGGGGGACCUUCGGGCCUCUUGCCAUCGGAUGUGCCCAGAUGGGAUUAGCUAGUAGGUGGGGUAACGGCUCACCUAGGCGACGAUCCCUAGCUGGUCUGAGAGGAUGACCAGCCACACUGGAACUGAGACACGGUCCAGACUCCUACGGGAGGCAGCAGUGGGGAAUAUUGCACAAUGGGCGCAAGCCUGAUGCAGCCAUGCCGCGUGUAUGAAGAAGGCCUUCGGGUUGCAAAGUACUUUCAGCGGGGAGGAAGGGAGUAAAGUUAAUACCUUUGCUCAUUGACGUUACCCGCAGAAGAAGCACCGGCUAACUCCGUG
rnacentral:rRNA from 1 species